rnacentral:lncRNA from 1 species
GAGCCAUAUCGAAGCUGGCCUUCUAUCAACAAGGGUGUCAUAUCGAAGCAGUGAAUUAAAAUAAAGUUGUGAUUGCAUCCAUUUGUUUCUCUUCUAGUCGCCCAUCGCUAGUGCUGGCCAUGUGAUAAACGCACAGGAUGCAAUUUUACUUCGUCUGUAACUCAGAAAGACAAGGGGUAAUCUGUGCCUAACACAGAAUUUUUGAGAUGAAGCUUCUCCAUCACCAAUUAUUAAUUUAGCUGUUUAAUCCAUGGCGCAGGGAACAGCAGCCGGAUUUCCAAAUGGCAAGAACGAACCAGAGCAGUCUACCUAAAACUAACUUGUAUUUAACAAAAUCCCCACAAAGAAGCACCC